AGGGCACCACCAGGAGUGGAGCCUGCGGCUUAAUUUGACUCAACACGGGGAAACUCACCAGGUCCAGACAAUAUAAGGAUUGACAGAUUGAUAGCUCUUUCUUGAUUUAUUGGGUGGUGGUGCAUGGCCGUUCUUAGUUGGUGGAGUGAUUUGUCUGGUUAAUUCCGAUAACGAACGAGACCUUAACCUGCUAAAUAGCCAGGCCGGCUUUUGCUGGUCGCCGGCUUCUUAGAGGGACUAUCAGCAUCUAGCUGAUGGAAGUUUGAGGCA
rnacentral:rRNA from 1 species